CGGGGUGUAGCGCAGCUUGGUAGCGCAUCUGGUUUGGGACCAGAGGGCCGCGGGUUCAAAUCCUGCCGCCCCGA
rnacentral:tRNA from 1 species